rnacentral:rRNA from 1 species
CAUGCAAGUCGAGCGGGGAAAGGUAGCUUGCUACCUAACCUAGCGGCGGACGGGUGAGUAAUGCUUAGGAAUCUGCCUAUUAGUGGGGGACAACAUUCCGAAAGGAAUGCUAAUACUGCAUACGUCCUACGGGAGAAAGCAGGGGACCUUCGGGCCUUGCGCUAAUAGAUGAGCCUAAGUCGGAUUAGCUAGUUGGUGGGGUAAAGGCCUACCAAGGCGACGAUCUGUAGCGGGUCUGAGAGGAUGAUCCGCCACACUGGGACUGAGACACGGCCCAGACUCCUACGGGAGGCAGCAGUGGGGAAUAUUGGACAAUGGGGGGAACCCUGAUCCAGCCAUGCCGCGUGUGUGAAGAAGGCCUUUUGGUUGUAAAGCACUUUAAGCGAGGAGGAGGCUACUAGUAUUAAUACUACUGGAUAGUGGACGUUACUCGCAGAAUAAGCACCGGCUAACUCUGUGCCAGCAGCCGCGGUAAUACAGAGGGUGCGAGCGUUAAUCGGAUUUACUGGGCGUAAAGCGUGCGCAGGCGGCUUUUUAAGUCGGAUGUGAAAUCCCUGAGCUUAACUUAGGAAUUGCAUUCGAUACUGGGGAAGCUAGAGUAUGGGAGAGGAUGGUAGAAUUCCAGGUGUAGCGGUGAAAUGCGUAGAGAUCUGGAGGAAUACCGAUGGCGAAGGCAGCCAUCUGGCCUAAUACUGACGCUGAGGUACGAAAGCAUGGGGAGCAAACAGGAUUAGAUACCCUGGUAGUCCAUGCCGUAAACGAUGUCUACUAGCCGUUGGGCCUUUGAGCUUUAUGGCGCGCUAACGCGAUAAGUAGACGCUGGGGAGUACGUCGCAGACUAACUCAAUGAAUGACGGGGCCGCACAGCGGUGGAGCAUGUGGUAAUCGGAUGCACGCGAGACCGUACUGUCUUGACAUAGUAAGAAC